rnacentral:rRNA from 1 species
UACGUAGGGUGCGAGCGUUGUCCGGAAUUACUGGGCGUAAAGAGCUCGUAGGUGGUUUGUCGCGUUGUUCGUGAAAACUCACAGCUUAACUGUGGGCGUGCGGGCGAUACGGGCAGACUGGAGUACUGCAGGGGGAGACUGGAAUUCCUGGUGUAGCGGUGGAAUGCGCAGAUAUCAGGAGGAACACCGGUGGCGAAGGCGGGUCUCUGGGCAGUAACUGACGCUGAGGAGCGAAAGCGUGGGGGAGCGAACGG